UUUUCCCGCUUUAGUGUGGACGGGAGGUGCAAACGUAGCAAAAGGUCUCCGUUUUUAAACGAAAACGCAGUAGUGUGGGCGGGGCCUCAGUCCUGCAGUGUUUCUCCUUCGACUCCGUUCUUCAAGACGAGCUGUGACCAAAACUAGCGUUAGCGAUUCCUGUGUAGCGACUGUUUCAAUCCCGCGUGUGACGCAGCUCACGCCCCCUGAUGGAGGAGACACGUCUCCACUGUCGGACAUUAUUACAGUCGAGAUGGAGCGUGUGUGUGUGUGUGUGUCUUCUCUCACAUGUUGGACAUCAGAAAACACUGCGAACCGUUAAUCUGAACCCAGUGCUCGUUUCUCCAAGGGUUGAUCUGUCCAGUUGACAUUUCCUGAAGAUGAUGAUGAUGUCAUGAGCUCUUGUGUUUUGUUAGUUCGCAGUCGCUGGAGGAAAUCAGUGUGAAUGCGUGAUUGGAGGAUGAGGACGAGUUGCUUCUGAUCCAACGACUGCAGAGAAAGACGUGAUUGGCUCUGGUUCGAGUCAUGUGACCGCGCCGCUAGUGUCUGCCGACUUCAUGGGUUCUCAAGCAAUACUUUAAAGAGGCUCAAUUCAGAUCAUUUGCACUUUAUUUAGAAAUGUACAUAUGAGAUUAUGGGUUGUCAAUAGUUCUCCUGAUGAUAAUGAUGACGAUUAUUAUUAGAUUAUUUUCUUUGCAUUAAAUGAAUAGUGAUAAACUUUUAAUUGCUUCAUCGUUUUUAUGAAUAUAAAUAAUUGAAGUUUAUCUAUAAAAGAGACGAACUAUGUGGUGUAAAAUGUAAAUGUUGUUGUUUUUGAAUAAAUGUGUGUAUGUCAGAGGCGCUUCAGUGUGUGUUCUCGGUGACGGUUCACAUCGGUGGAGACGUCUCUUCAAUUACAGGUUAGACACUGAACUGCUUUUUAAAUCGUUAUUUCUAUGAAAACAAUUAUAUUAAAAGUGAAAAUUAUUUUGUUUGUUUAGAUUAAAGUCUGAAAAAGUCUUUUGAAAUAAAAUAAUGGCAUUUUCAGGGUUCAAAAAAGUCAUUAGAAGAGUUCAAUAAAAGGUCAUUCAGUA